rnacentral:tRNA from 1 species
AUUACUUUGGCAGAUUUAUGCGUCGGAUUUAGAAUCCGUUUAAAUAGUGUUGAUACUAUAGGUAAUA